AUAUUAAUAAGCGGAGGAAAAGAAACUAACAAGGAUUCCCCUAGUAACGGCGAGUGAAUAGGGAACUGCUCAAGCUGAAAAUCGAAGACCUUCCGGCCUUCGAGUUGUAGUCUAGAGAAGCAACGUCCGUGGUGGCCCAGGUCUAAGUCCCUUGGAACAGGGUGUCACAGAGGGUGAGAACCCCGUAUUUGACUUGGAGAUCUGCUGCGUGUGAUGUGCUUUCCUCGAGUCGGGCUGUUUGGGAUUGCAGCCCUAAUUGGGUGGUAAAUUUCAUCUAAAGCUAAAUAUUGGCGAGAGACCGAUAGCGCACAAGUA
rnacentral:rRNA from 1 species